rnacentral:rRNA from 1 species
UCCUACGGGAGGCAGCAGUGAGGAAUUUUGCACAAUGGGGGCAACCCUGAUGCAGCGACGCCGCGUGAGUGAUGAAGGCUUUCGGGUCGUAAAACUCUGUUGUUAGGGAAGAACAAGUGCUAGUUGAAUAAGCUGGCACCUUGAUGGUACCUAACCAGAAAGCCACGGCUAACUACGUGCCAGCAGCCGCGGUAAUACGUAGGUGGCAAGCGUUAUCCGGAAUUAUUGGGCGUAAAGCGCGCGCAGGUGGUUUCUUAAGUCUGAUGUGAAAGCCCACGGCUCAACCGUGGAGGGUCAUUGGAAACUGGGAGACUUGAGUGCAGAAGAGGAAAGUGGAAUUCCAUGUGUAGCGGUGAAAUGCGUAGAGAUAUGGAGGAACACCAGUGGCGAAGGCGACUUUCUGGUCUGUAACUGACACUGAGGCGCGAAAGCGUGGGGAGCAAACAGGAUUAGAUACCCUGGUAGUCCACGCCGUAAACGAUGAGUGCUAAGUGUUAGAGGGUUUCCGCCCUUUAGUGCUGAAGUUAACGCAUUAAGCACUCCGCCUGGGGAGUACGGCCGCAAGGCUGAAACUCAAAGGAA